UGACUUGCCCUAUUUUAAGCAUUUUUAAUUACCAGCACUUUUCAUCCUUGCCUGAAAAAAUUACCAACCUUUUUACGCGAUGGUGCAUAUGGGUGAUACACCCCCGGUUACUCAGUUGGUCACUUGUCCAAGUGGCUACUAGCUCUGUUCAUAAUCUUAGACCAUCGAAACUUUAUUUUUAUGCUUGAAAAGUCACCAACCUUUUUACGCGACGGUGCACAUGGGUAAUACACCUCCGGUUACUCAGUUGGUCACUUGUCCAAGUGACUAUUAGCUCAGUUCAUAGCCUUAGAUCAUAGGAACAGGUUGUGCUUUUUGAUUUGCUGAGUUUUUCUUUUUCUUUUUCAUUUUUAUAUCAAUUUGGGCAAAUCAACUCAAAGAGAAUUACACUAACUUUUAUUGCAUGUAUUUUAUUUUCCUUUCCUAUUGGCCACAGCAGUUUCAAGAACUCAAUUCAAGAAGAAAAACUUCCUAAGUAAAGGCUACACACUGUGCAUGGUUCAAUUUAGGUUUAAAGGGUUGGAUAAUCAAUGGGGUCAUGAGAUAGGAAGCUCUUUUAACCUUGUUAUCUAUGCUGAGUAGAGCAAAAGCUAAGUCAAAAUUCUGUGUGUGUGUGUGAAGAAAAAAAAAUGUGUGAAAAAAGAAAAAAUUUUGGUGUGUGUUUAUGGGGCAAAAAGAUGCAAAAUGAAACAAAAAAGAAAGCAAAAAUAUAAUGUAAUCAAUGCAAAAAUAUAACCCAGCAGUAAAUACCCCCAC
rnacentral:lncRNA from 1 species